UACGGGGGGGGUAAGCGUUGUUCGGAUUCAUUGGGCGUAAAGGGUGCGUAGGCGGCGCGGUAAGUCGGGUGUGAAAUCUCGGAGCUUAACUCCGAAACUGCAUUCGAUACUGCCGUGCUUGAGGACUGGAGAGGAGACUGGAAUUUACGGUGUAGCGGUGAAAUGCGUAGAUAUCGUAAGGAAGACCAGUGGCGAAGGCGGGUCUCUGGACAGUUCCUGACGCUGAGGCACGAAGGUCAGGGGAGCAAACGGG
rnacentral:rRNA from 1 species